GUCUGCGCCGUGGCCGCCGCCGCCGCCGCUGCCUGUCGCCGAGCCUGGCAUCUCCGAGCCCCCGCGCGGGGGGCUGCCGCCCAGCGCUGAUUGACAGCCCGCCUCGCCAAUGCCUGGAGGGAGAAAGGAGGUGUCUUUGUGGGCACCGAGGGAUAUAAUGGUGAGACGUACCAGGGUCCAUUGAGGGAAUAAGGAGAAGAUAAUAAAUUAGUUGCCAACUUGCAAAUUUUUGAGAGCCGCAAUUACUGAGAAAGGAUUUGUCUGACAGCAGAGAGAGUUUUCAAAUCAGCAGCUGUGUGAUCCUUUUAAAAUAGAAUUGUGCUUCUCUUGGGUGGGUGUGGUGAUAUAUGCCUAUGAUCCCAGCAUUUGGGAGGCAGAAGCAGGCAGACCUCUGUUAGUUCAAGGCCAAGCUAGUGUACAUCAUGAUAUCUGGGACAGUCAUAGGGCUACAUAGUAACACCCUGUAGAGACCGUGUCUUAAAACAAAACAAGACAAAACAAAAACAACCACACACACACACACACACACACACACACACACACACAAUCAGCUUCCAGUCUCCCCUUCAUUGUCUUUCCCCUCUGUGGUUACACUUUGCCUCUUAGAGCACAUUCCUCUCUCCACUGCAGCCUCACUGGUCUUUUUGAGCAGGUCAAAGGUAUUUUAGCUGGCAUGUUUUUCCCUGGAGUGUAUACACAGUUCUUUUCCAUAUCUCUUGUACGUUUUCCUGUGGUAUCCCUGUUUCAGUGAGGCCUUCACUAAGCUCCCUGCUUACAACUGUAACCCUGGCCCUUUCUUGUCACACACACACACACACACACACACACACACACACACACACACACACACCUCCCUUCCUAUCUAGCACUGUCACUGUCUGUCAUACUAUGAAGUGCCAUUGUGGUGAGAUUAUAACUCCCUCACAGGAAGGGAGGUCUGCUGAGUCAGCAGGUAGACUAGUGCCUAGCACAUGACAGAGCCCCAGUGAACCUGCUGGGUGAGGAAUGGCUUGAAGAGCUGUGGAAGCAGCUGGAGGAAGUGCUAACAUUACCUAGAUGGAGAGGGGAGAGGCAGCAGUCAUGCUAGAGGGACGAGAGAACACUUCAGUAUUUCAGUGUUUCAGGAAGCGCAUAUCCUAUUGCAGCCAGCUCCGAGCAGAGGAAAGGUUCAACCUUCGUUCUCUCUUCCAAAUGAAGUCUGUAAUAGUUUUCUUUUCUUUCUGUAAAGGAGGCUCUGUUGAGCCUGUUUGGAAAAGUGAUGUCCUUUUAAAGAAUAUAUAAAGGCAGUCAUUUU
ensembl:antisense Gm26756 predicted gene, 26756